CGGACCUGACUGCUAUCGGAUUGAUACUAAGCCAUGCGAGUCAUUGUAGCAAUACAAGGCAUACGGCUCAGUAACGCGUAGUCAACCUAACCUAUGGACGGGAAUAACCUCGGGAAACUGAGAAUAAUGCCCGAUAGAACAUUAUGCCUGGAAUGGUUUAUGUUCCAAAUGAUUCAUCGCCGUAGGAUGGGACUGCGGCCUAUCAGUUUGUUGGUGAGGUAAUGGCCCACCAAGACUAUUACAGGUACGGGCUCUGAGAGGAGUAGCCCGGAGAUGGGUACUGAGACACGGACCCAGGCCCUAUGGGGCGCAGCAGGCGAGAAAACUUUGCAAUGUGCGAAAGCACGACAAGGUUAAUCCGAGUGGUUUCUGCUAAAGGAACCUUUUGUCAGUCCUAGAAACACUGAUGAAUAAGGGGUGGGCAAGUUCUGGUGUCAGCCGCCGCGGUAAAACCAGCACCUCAAGUGGUCAGGGUGAUUAUUGGGCCUAAAGCAUCCGUAGCCGGCUCUGUAAGUUUUCGGUUAAAUCUGUACGCUCAACGUACAGGCUGCCGGGAAUACUGCAAAGCUAGGGAGUGGGAGAGGUAGACGGUACUCGGUAGGAAGGGGUAAAAUCCUUUGAUCUAUUGAUGACCACCUGUGGCGAAGGCGGUCUACCAGAACACGUCCGACGGUGAGGGAUGAAAGCUGGGGGAGCAAACCGGAUUAGAUACCCGGGUAGUCCCAGCUGUAAACCAUGCAAACUCAGUGAUGCAUUGGCUUGUGGCCAAUGCAGUGCUGCAGGGAAGCCGUUAAGUUUGCCGCCUGGGAAGUACGUACGCAAGUAUGAAACUUAAAGGAAUUGGCGGGG
rnacentral:rRNA from 1 species